rnacentral:rRNA from 1 species
UACGAGGGGGGCUAGCGUUGCUCGGAAUCACUGGGCGUAAAGGGCGCGUAGGCGGUUCAUACAGUCAGAUGUGAAAUUCCUGGGCUCAACCUGGGAGCUGCAUUUGAUACGUGUGGACUGGAGUGGGGAAGAGGGUCGUGGAAUUCCCAGUGUAGAGGUGAAAUUCGUAGAUAUUGGGAAGAACACCGGUGGCGAAGGCGGCGACCUGGGCCAUGACUGACGCUGAGGCGCGAAAGCGAGGGGAGCAAACAGG